UUCAACCAGAAUCCUCUGCAGGCAGCAGCAUCAUGCAAUUCUGACUUCACAAUGACAUGAAAUUUUAAAUGACAACUGUGCUAAAUCAGGGAGCGGCAAGCCCUGGCCAAGUUUAAAUUUAGUAACACUGCUAGUUUACUGAAAAUAACCUUCUCCAUAGCAGAUUCUCCACGAAUUUCAGGUGACCAACUACUUGUUUUUCUGUUCUGUUCAGAGAUAAUCAGGUACGCAGAGGCUUCAGCGUUGAUGUCUUCCUCGCUUCUCAAUGGCAUUUCUGGUGUCCACCUCAGGAGUCUCCUUGGCCAGCCUUGAAAUGCUUUGAAAUUAAACAGAGAAGCCACUGCAUAUAUUCUUGAAAAUUUCCACAGUCUACGCCCAGAACUUUCUGAAUAAGCAUAAGGAUUUGAAGGUGCUAACAGAGCAGGGAGCAAGCCAAAGGGACAGUGGUAGGUGUGGAAAGGCCAUGGACUAUCCACCAA